GGGGAAGUAACUCAGUUGGUAGAGUGGGGAUCUUAUAAAUAUCUGGUCGGUGGUUCGAGUCCAUCCUUCCCUACCA
rnacentral:tRNA from 1 species